rnacentral:rRNA from 1 species
CAGUCGCCGCGGUAAUACGGAGGGAGCUAGCGUUGUUCGGAAUUACUGGGCGUAAAGCGCACGUAGGCGGCUUUGUAAGUUAGAGGUGAAAGCCUGGAGCUCAACUCCAGAAUUGCCUUUAAGGCUGCAUCGCUUGAAUCCGGGAGAGGUGAGUGGAAUUCCGAGUGUAGAGGUGAAAUUCGUAGAUAUUCGGAAGAACACCAGUGGCGAAGGCGGCUCACUGGACUGGUAUUGACGCUGAGGUGCGAAAGCGUGGGGAGCAAACAGGAUUAGAUACCCCGGUAGUCCCUGUCUCUUAUAA